rnacentral:misc_RNA from 1 species
GAUGAAGAACGUAGCGAAAUGCGAUACGUAAUGUGAAUUGCAGAAUUCAGUGGAUCAUCGAAUCUUUGAACGCACAUUGCGCCUGCCAGCACUCUGGCAGGCAUGCCUGUUCGAGCGUCAUUUCAACCAUCAAGCCCUAGGCUUGCGUUGGAGCCCUGCGGCUGCCGCAGGCCCCUAAAAGCAGUGGCGGGCUCGCUAUCACACCGAGUGCAGUAGAUUACUCUUCGCUCAGGGCGUGUGGCGGGUUCCAGCCGUGAAACCCCCUACUUCUCAAGGUUGACCUCGGAUCAGGUAGGAAUACCCGCUGAACUUAAGCAUAUCAAUAAGCGGAGGA